CAGUCGCCACGGUAAUGCGAAGGGUGCAAGCGUUAAUCGGAAUUACUGGGCGUAAAGCGUGCGUAGGCGGUAAGUUAAGUCUGCUGUGAAAUCCCCGGGCUCAACCUGGGAAUGGCAGUGGAUACUGGCUCGCUAGAGUGUGUCAGAGGAUGGUGGAAUUCCCGGUGUAGCGGUGAAAUGCGUAGAGAUCGGGAGGAACAUCAGUGGCGAAGGCGGCCAUCUGGGACAACACUGACGCUGAGGCACGAAAGCGUGGGGAGCAAACAGGAUUAGAUACCCCCGUAGUCCCUGUCUCUUAUAC
rnacentral:rRNA from 1 species